UGUGUAGGUGGCGUGGUAAGUCGGGUGUGAAAUUUCGGAGCUUAACUCCGAAACUGCAUUCGAUACUGCCGUGCUUGAGGACUGGAGAGGAGACUGGAAUUUACGGUGUAGCAGUGAAAUGCGUAGAGAUCGUAAGGAAGACCAGUGGCGAAGGCGGGUCUCUGGACAGUUCCUGACACUGAGGCACGAAGGCCAGGGAGCAAACG
rnacentral:rRNA from 1 species